CGCGGAAACCAGCUGUCUGUAGAUUUGCAUGCUAUAAUGCUGGCAGAAAGUGUCUAAUGGAUUCAUAUAGCGAUCAACAGAGCGAGGAUGGGAAUACGCAUCAGAUACCCUAAACUGUUUCUGCUCC